rnacentral:rRNA from 1 species
GAUGAACGCUGGCGGCGUGCCUAAUACAUGCAAGUCGAGCGAACAGACGAGGAGCUUGCUCCUCUGACGUUAGCGGCGGACGGGUGAGUAACACGUGGAUAACCUACCUAUAAGACUGGGAUAACUUCGGGAAACCGGAGCUAAUACCGGAUAAUAUAUUGAACCGCAUGGUUCAAUAGUGAAAGACGGUUUUGCUGUCACUUAUAGAUGGAUCCGCGCCGCAUUAGCUAGUUGGUAAGGUAACGGCUUACCAAGGCAACGAUGCGUAGCCGACCUGAGAGGGUGGUCGGCCACACUGGAACUGAGACACGGUCCAGACGCCUACGGGAGGCAGCAGUAGGGAAUCUUCCGCAAUGGGCGAAAGCCUGACGGAGCAACGCCGCGUGAGUGAUGAAGGUCUUCGGAUCGUAAAACUCUGUUAUUAGGGAAGAACAAAUGUGUAAGUAACUAUGCACGUCUUGACGGUACCUAAUCAGAAAGCCACGGCUAACUACGUG